rnacentral:rRNA from 1 species
UACGUAGGGGGGCAAGCGUUGUCCGGAAUCAUUGGGCGUAAAGAGCGUGUAGGCGGCCCGAUAAGUCCGCUGUGAAAGUCCAGGGCUCAACCCUGGGAUGCCGGUGGAUACUGUCGGGCUCGAGUCCGGAAGAGGAGUGUGGAAUUCCUGGUGUAGCGGUGAAAUGCGCAGAUAUCAGGAGGAACACCAAUGGCGAAGGCAGCACUCUGGGGACGUGACUGACGCUGAGACGCGAAAAGCGUGGGGGAGCAAACAGG